rnacentral:rRNA from 1 species
GGAAGGGGUGUAUUUAUUAGUAAAAACCAAUGCCCCCUUUUGGGCCCUUGGUUGAUUCAUAAUAACUAACGGAUCGGCAUGGCCUUGCGCCGGCGAUGGUUCAUUCAAAUUUCUGCCCUAUCAACUUUGGAUUUGUAAGAUAGAGGCUUACAAUGGUCUUUACGGUGACGGGAAUUAGGGUUCUAUUCCGGAGAGGGAGCCUGAGAAACGGGCUACCACAUCCAAGGAAGGCAGCAGGCGCGCAAAUUACCCAAUGCCGAUUCGGCGAGGUAGUGACAAUAAAUACUGAUACGGGGCUCUUUCGGGUCUCGUAAUUGGAAUGAGUACAAUCUAAAUCCCUUAACGAGGAACAAUUGGAGGGCAAGUCUGGUGCCAGCAGCCGCGGUAAUUCCAGCUCCAAUAGCGUAUAUUAAAGUUGUUGCCGUUAAAAAGCUCGUAGAUGAACCUUGGACCUGGCUGAUCUGUCCUCCUAAUCGAGCGCACGGAUUCGGUCGGGUCUUUCCUUCUGGGGAGCCCCAUGCCCUUCACUGGGUGUGGUGGGGAACCAGGACUUUUAC